rnacentral:rRNA from 1 species
GCAAGUCGAACGAGAACGGGUUAUAGCUUGCUAUAACUGUCAGCUAAGUGGCGCACGGGUGAGUAAUAUAUAGUUAAUCUGCCCUAGAGAAAGGGAUAACGUUUGGAAACGAACGCUAACACCUUAUAUGCCUUUAAGUCUUAAGACUGCAAGGGAAACAUUUAUGGCUCUAGGAGGAGACUGUACGGUAUCAGUUAGUUGGUGAGGUAAUGGAGAACCAAGACAAUGACGCCUAACUGGUUUGAGAGGAUGAGC